rnacentral:rRNA from 2 species
CCGGAGAAUGUUAUCACGGGAGACACACGGCGGGUGCUAACGUCCGUCGUGAAGAGGGAAACAACCCAGACCGCCAGCUAAGGUCCCAAAGUCAUGGUUAAGUGGGAAACGAUGUGGGAAGGCCCAGACAGCCAGGAUGUUGGCUUAGAAGCAGCCAUCAUUUAAAGAAAGCGUAAUAGCUCACUGGUCGAGUCGGCCUGCGCGGAAGAUGUAACGGGGCUAAACCAUGCACCGAAGCUGCGGCAGCGAACGUAUCACUUAAAGCGAUUCAGCGGGUUACGAUUGACGGAGCGAAGCGACGUCAAAGCGUAUACAAAGUCGAGUCGGUUUAAGGAUACGUUCGUUGGGUAGGGGAGCGUUCUGUAAGCCUGUGAAGGUGGCCUGUGAGGGUUGCUGGAGGUAUCAGAAGUGCGAAUGCUGACAUAAGUAACGAUAAAGCGGGUGAAAAGCCCGCUCGCCGGAAGACCAAGGGUUCCUGUCCAACGUUAAUCGGGGCAGGGUGAGUCGACCCCUAAGGCGAGGCCGAAAGGCGUAGUCGAUGGGAAACGGGUUAAUAUUCCCGUACUUGGUGUUACUGCGAAGGGGGGACGG